AUUGCAAACAGUGAAAAUAAUGUUUCAUUACACGAGAGGUACCGGAUCCUGGAAAAUGGGUAAAGGAACUGAUCCUGUUCCGGCAGAACCGGCUCAAAUUAAGCACUGCUAGUGACCAAUGCAAUGAGACAGACCAAAUGCUGAUGGGAAAAAUAUUUUUAGAACGAAAUAUCGCCUAACAGGUGAUGGUGUAUAAUACUGUGGCAACCGUUCUGUACCUCACAGCGUUUCUGGCCAAUGCUGCAUCAGUCAUGCCUGACCGUUACCGCCAUAUGGCAGCUGCUAAGAGCCAGCACCUUCUUUUA
rnacentral:lncRNA from 8 species